GACGAACGCUGGCGGCGUGCUUAACACAUGCAAGUCGAACGGAGAGGCCCUGCUUUUGUGGGGUGCUCGAGUGGCGAACGGGUGAGUAACACGUGAGUAACCUGCCCUUGACUUUGGGAUAACUUCAGGAAACUGGGGCUAAUACCGGAUAGGAGCUCCUGCUGCAUGGUGGGGGUUGGAAAGUUUCGGCGGUUGGGGAUGGACUCGCGGCUUAUCAGCUUGUUGGUGGGGUAGUGGCUUACCAAGGCUUUGACGGGUAGCCGGCCUGAGAGGGUGACCGGCCAAGUUGGGACUGAGAUACGGCCCAGACUCCUACGGGAGGCAGCAGUGGGGAAUGUUGCACAAUGGGCGGAAGCCUGAUGCAGCAACGCCGCGGGCGGGAUGACGGCCUUCGGGUUGGAAACCGCUGUCGCCUGUGACGAAGCGUGAGUGACGGUAAUGGGUAAAGAAGCACCGGCUAACUACGUGC
rnacentral:rRNA from 1 species